CGUUAUAUCCUAUCGUCACAGUGGAUGACGAUAGAAAAAGGACUAGAUCCGUAAUUUUUCCGACUUAUGAUCAGAUCUGUCCGAAAUCCGUCAAAAGGUCAAAACAGUGAAUAUUUUUUCCUCAACAAACACACGCGACACCGCGCGCAUACAGAACGGAGAGGAACAGGUAGACAGACAGAGACAUGAACUACAAAGUUAGGCGAGGCAUCUGAUCCGUGGC
rnacentral:lncRNA from 1 species